UUUUGGUGUCACCGCCUCAGCCACAGCCUGCGCUCCAUGAGGAAGAUGCUUGUCGCCGUCUCCCGCGUGCUGUCCGGCGCUGCCCAGAAGCCGUCAAGCAGAGUGCUAGUGGCAUCCCGUAAUUUUGCAAAUGAUGCUACAUUUGAAAUUAAGAAAUGUGAUCUUCAUCGGCUCGAAGAGGGCCCACCUGUCACCACAGUGCUCACCAGGGAAGAGGGGCUCAAAUACUAUAGGAUGAUGCAGACUGUGCGCCGGAUAGAGCUAAAGGCAGACCAACUGUAUAAGCAGAAAAUUAUUCGUGGUUCUGCCACUUGUGUGAUGGUCAGGAAGCCUGCUGUGUGGGACUCGAGGCUGGCAUAAAUCCUACCGAUCAUCUGAUCACAGCCUAUCGGGCUCAUGGUUUUACCUUCACUCGGGGCCUUUCAGUCCGGGAGAUUCUAGCAGAGCUAACAGGAUGAAGAGGAAGUUGUGCUAAAGGGAAAGGAGGAUCUAUGCACAUGUAUGCCAAGAACUUCUACGGGGGCAAUGGCAUUGUUGGAGCUCAGGUGCCCCUAGGAGCUGGGAUUGCUCUGGCCUGCAAAUACAAUGGAAAAGAUGAGGUCUGUCUGACAUUAUAUGGUGAUGGUGCUGCUAAUCAGGGCCAGAUAUUUGAAGCUUACAAUAUGGCAGCAUUGUGGAAAUUACCUUGUAUUUUCAUUUGUGAGAAUAACCGCUAUGGAAUGGGAACAUCUGUGGAGCAAGCUGCAGCCAGCACUGAUUACUAUAAGAGAGGCGAUUUUAUUCCUGGGCUGAGGGUAGAUGGAAUGGAUAUCCUGUGCAUCUGGGAAGCAACAAAGUUUGCAAUUUCCUAUUGUAGAUCUGGGAAGGGGCCCAUCCUGAUGGAGCUGCAGACUUACCGUUACCAUGGACAUAGUAUGAGUGAUCCUGGAGUCAGUUAUCGUUCACGAGAAGAAAUUCAGGAAGUAAGAAGUAAGAGUGACCCUAUUAUGCUUCUCAAGGAUAGGAUGGUGAACAGCAAUCUUGCCAGUGUAGAAGAAUUAAAGGAAAUUGAUGUGGAAGUGAGGAAAGAAAUUGAGGAUGCUGCCCAGUUUGCCACAGCUGAUCCUGAGCCACCUCUGGAAGAACUAGGCCAUUACAUCUACAGUAGCGACCCACCCUUUGAAGUGCGUGGUGCUAACCAGUGGAUCAAAUUCAAGUCAGUCAGUUAACAGGAGAUCACAUGUAAUGGAUGGCCUGUUCAUCAGCAAUUGUAAGGAACUCAGUUUUCAACUUUGAGAAAUAAUAUCCAAAAAAUAUGGUAUAAGUCUUGGAAACUUUUUAAAUAGCAUGUAAGUUAUACUAAGGAGUAACUGCAUGCAUGCAGGUUGUACCUUAGUGCUUAAGUGCUUCGUGUGACUAUAUAAAAACAAAAGUAUAAUCUUCCCCCAAAAUUAUUUCCUAAGAUCAUUUAAUUUGUCUAAACAGAAGAACAAUUCUUUGUAUGCCUGUUCCAAACCUGUCAUUUCUUUGGGUGAUGAUCCCUGGUCUUGAGGAAUCAUUGCUGUAUUCUCAUAGGACCCCUUGACCUCACAGGUAGUAUAGGUGCAGAAGACUGCACUGCUUGCUUCUCCAACGUUUAUGAUUAUAAAUAAGAUUUCAAAAGCCAAAUUAUUUUUUUCAUUUAUGCAUUCAAAGUAAAUAUGA